GACAGAGGGUGCAAACGUUGUUCGGAAUUACUGGGCGUAAAGCGUGUGUAGGCGGUGAGGUAAGUCGGAUGUGAAAGCCCAGGGCUCAACCCUGGAAGUGCACUCGAUACUGCUUCGCUUGAGUACUGGAGAGGUUGGUGGAAUUCUCGGUGUAGAGGUGAAAUUCGUAGAUAUCGAGAGGAACAUCUGUGGCGAAGGCGGCCAACUGGACAGAUACUGACGCUGAGACACGAAAGUGCGGGGAGCAAACAGGAUUAGAUACCCUGGUAGUCCGCACCGUAAACGAUGGGUGCUAGGUGUCACGAGCUUUGACUCUCGUGGUGCCGUAGCCAACGCAUUAAGCACCCCGCCUGGGAAGUACGGCCGCAAGGCUAAA
rnacentral:rRNA from 1 species